rnacentral:rRNA from 1 species
AACGAACGCUGGCGGCGUGCUUAACACAUGCAAGUCGAACGGAGUGGCGGACGGGUGAGUAACGCGUAAUCAACCUGCCCUUCAGAGGGGGACAACAGUUGAAAACGAGUGCUACUACCGCAUACGGCAUGAGGGGCAUGCGUCGGAUUAGCUAGUUGGAGGGGUAACGGCCCACCAAGGCGAGGGGCAGUAGACGGGCUGAGAGGAUGAACGGCCACAUUGGGACUGAGACACGGACCAGACUCCUACGGGAGGCAGCAGUGGGGAAUCUUUCGAAAUGGACGAAAUUCUUACGAAGCCACGCCGCGGGAGUGAUGACGGCCUUCGGGUUGUAAAGCUCUGUUAAUCGGGACGCGGUACCGGAAUAGAAAGCCACGGCUAACUACGUGCCAGCAGCCGCGGUAAUUC